rnacentral:rRNA from 1 species
UACGAAGGGGGCUAACGUUGCUCGGAAUCACUGGGCGUAAAGCGCACGUAGGCGGCUUUCUAAGUCAGGGGUGAAAUCCUGGAGCUCAACUCCAGAACUGCCUUUGAUACUGGAGAGCUUGAGUCCGGAAGAGGUGAGUGGAACUCCGAGUGUAGAGGUGAAAUUCGUAGAUAUUCGGAAGAACACCAGUGGCGAAGGCGGCUCACUGGUCCGGUACUGACGCUGAGGUGCGAAGGCUAGGGGAGCGAACGGG